UUCGACUGUUUACCAAAAACAUAGCUUUAAGAACACAUUACAAAUAGUGACGCCUGCUCAAUGAUUGCACAAUAAAAAAAACAUAACAACAAUUCAAUAGCUGCGGUAACACCUGACCGCACAAAGGUAGCACAAUAAAUAGCCUAUUAAUUCUAGGAUCGCAUGAAGGCAAAACGAAACUUUAACUGUCUCAAGAACAUAAAAUAAAAAUAGAUUGUGUGUGCAAAUCCACACUAAAACGGCAAGACGAUAAGACCCUAUGAACUUUACCCAAAAUAUUGAAAAACUAACUAUAAAAAAUUUCUAACAUAUAAAACUCAAGAUUAAGGUUUCGUUGGGGCAACGGUCUCAAAAUAAAUAAAUAAGACAUAACAAUAAAAAAAACAUAAAUAUAAGAUUUUUAAAUCACUAUAAUCCCAGAUAAGACCCAUUAAAACAAUUAAAUUAAUGAAUAAAAAAUAAAAGUUCCUUAGGGAUAACAGCGUAAUAUUGGUUAUAAAGAUCUUUUCAACCAAUGUUUGCGACCUCGAUGUUGAAUUACRA
rnacentral:rRNA from 1 species